AGCCUUAAGGCACCUUCAGAUCAUCCUAUACUCUGACUCUGAACCUUUUUUACAUGAAUGAGAGUCACUUUGGCACCAGAGGCGUAAGUCGACCCUCUAAUACUCGGUGGCGGCUGAGAAGGAGCGAUGAGACAGGCACGACGAAGACCGUCGCAGCCCGCAGCGGCGCUUGUUGUGUAACUGUGCCGCCUCACGGUAGCCGCCGCUGGUCUCCGACCAGAGCGGCCCCCUGUAGAAGGUCGAGCCGGAGAAGGGGUAGCGGUUGCCGUGGUUCACCAUGGAGCCGUAUACCAAGUGGCAGAGGGGCCGGCGGCAGUAGACCCAGCGGUUGGCGCUGGCGGGCGAGUUGCGGAGGAGGAGGCCGUGUCAGUGCGACUCGCCGCGUCCUCUGGAGCACGAGGAGCUGCGGCGUUCGUUGUUGCUCUGGCAGACCAGCAGGUUGAGGAGCCGGCGCCGCGGCAGACGCCACCGCGUCGAGCUGCUGUUGCCGUUGGAGCACGAGCGCCUGCGCCGGCCGCGGCACGACACCGUCUCGAAGCUGGUAGGCUGGUUGUGCAUGCACAGGCUCUACGCCUAGCCCUUCCUGCAGCCCUGGCCCCGGCUCACCAGGGAGAGCAGCACCGCGGUGCGGAUGCUGGGCAGUCGGUCGCUGAAGGCGAUGCAUUACCUGUGUGCCCCGAGCGGCCUCGACGUGUAGACCUCCUUCCCUGCGUUCUGCAUGGCCUGCCCCGGCACCUUGCCCGACGCGAAGUCGCCGUAUGGCCUCUACCGGUGGAUGUUCCCGUACAAGCUCAAGGUCAAAUGGCUGUGGCGGCUGCUCCAGAGGAUGUACAUGGUGCGCACGCUGCCGAGCGGCGGCAGGGCGCAACAGGAGGUACUCAGACCACACUAUUUCGCGUACCAAACCCUGUCGCGCCGCGAGUCCACCUCUUCGAAGACCAGCCCCGGCUCCCUGCUCACGCUGGCCAUGCCGCACACGCCGCGCAAGCCGCAGACGUUGCUCCACCUGCGGCACCACACGUCGACGCAGACCCCGAAGGACGGCUCCAGCGGCCACCUCACCCCGUACGCCUUGCGCAGGCCGCCCACGCGGGCGUCGUGCGGCGACGUCACGCCCCCGCCGCGGCCGCUGCUCCUGCCCAAGGUGCGGGACGCGCCGCACUUCGACGGACUCUGCGUGCCGUCGUCGCACCUGCGGCCGCGGAGCGAGCUCCUCACGCCGGCCUCCACGGACCGGUUGACGAGGACGUGCCGCAUGCGGCGCAGCCUGUAGGCACCACCACCACCUCCCUCGCCCACGUAAGACACCAAGCCGCUCGACCACCUGUGCGCCAAGUAGCUGCCGCCCGUCCUAGAGAAGCAGUCCGACCGUUUCAGGCUGGAUCUGUGACGCUGACGUAGAUGUCUCGGUCAGUUCUGAUUCUUCAAACAGCGUCAGUAGUGAUAUAACUAUUAUCCCAAACCCAAUGAAGACGAUACCGAACCGAAGAACUAAACCUUUUUCCAGACCGCGUCUUUUCUUCGAUGGUACAAACUACUGUAGUACUCUCCGCUGACGGGCUGUAUGGUAAAACUUUGGUAAUCUCGGCGGUGGCCACCUAAGACGGGGCUCUUACUUUAGCCCGCACCACCGAAGCCGUAACAAAUGUUCCCAGUUUACGUUCUACCGGUCCUUUAACGUCACUUCUUCAACAGUUGACUAUUGUCUCACGUUCCGGACUUUCUCAAGUUCUUGCUCCACCUGGAUUAACGGUCCGACGUUGUAGCGUUGGAACAUGCGAACGAACCGACGACGUAGGUAACGAGACUGUCCUAUGAGCAGAUGCUCAUGUACUCAUUGUUCUCGAACCUAUCGAAGUAGAAACUAGACUCCUCCGCACGGUGAAACUCGACCUUCUGAUCCUACCUGUAGUAGGAACUGUAACGGUCUCCCGAAGAGAUGGAAGUGGUCCUGAGCUCCGUGUGAUACUAGGUGGCUCUAGAGUUCCGCCGGUUACAAGAGGAAUUACCCCUCUACCGGCGGUUCUAUAGCCUAAAGCCUUAGCGUUUCGACAAGUCGUCGUAGCCGUUGUUGGUCCUAAGGUGGCAGUGCCUUUCCUAACAACCCUGUAUACCAAUGUACCGUGGGCUCAUGCGGUACCUACCGUACCAUAGUAAGUACGUCCUACACAUGUCGAAACCACACAACGACGACCUCUAGCAGUCACCCUCCUCCUUGGUUGCUUUAAAGUUGGAGUAUCGAGUACGUACCUUCGAUAAACUUCUUUUGUUUACGGAGUUCGAGGAACUGGGUUGACACGCGCUAGUUACGAAGGAUCGCCUCGAUCUCGUCCGUAGCUGCACGUAGGUCCAUCCCGACAACACGCAAGUUCUCUCGGGCUCGGUUGCGGGCGUUUACCGACAACACUAGGGGUACGACAGUGUCGUAGUCCACGGUACCGCCGGUGAAGCCGGCCACCAGACGCACGGCCACUCGUGAGGCCGGCUGGAAGCGCUGUACUUCCUCCUGUGCAGCCCGUUGAAGCUCUACUAGUAAUGCCUGGAACUUCCGGCCAUCGAUUUUACGUACCUACCUGUCUACGUACAGUUCGACCUUGGCUUCUAACUUCUGUAAUGACUACUGACAAAUUUACAUUAGCCCAUCCUGUCCACGUACGUGAACCACCGUACCUAGAUGUGUUCACACUGGAGAAUUAGACAUUUUAUUACGGAUCCAAUAAGCGCCUCUGACGAUGGUUUAAACUAUUAUCACCUAGUUCCCAAUUCAGUACCGGGUAUUAAACACAGAUUCUCUACGGAUAAGCAUUCUGGACCCGGUGGCUA
rnacentral:rRNA from 1 species